GUGUUGUAUAAAAGGAGAGACGGUUAGCACUCCCCUAGACAAGGAUGGAAUUACACACAUAUACGGUCAUGGGCACUGCUGUGUGUUGCGCACAGCACAUGACCACAUUUUUUA